rnacentral:misc_RNA from 1 species
AUUUCAUUUCAUUUCAAUUCAACUAGUAGGUUGUCAAAUUUGAAUAUCAAGCAUGUGGAAUUGAAAAUGGAAAUAAUUCAGGCGUUUUAUGGUCUAUGAAAGGCUAUUGUCUCCAAUCCUUUUUCCCCCAUUUUAUGUAAUUAUAAAUUUAGUUGCUUCUGAAGUUUGAGUUGAGUUUUUCUGUUUAUUUGUUUUGAAUUGCGG